UCAAAUUUGUCCUCUGUUCCUUCCCUGUUCUUGCAGCUCCACAAUGGGAUCGUCCUUUUGACCUGCAUGUGGAUGCAAGUGAUGUAGGUGCAGGUGCGGUCUUAUUUCAGCAAGAUGAUGAUGGAGUUGAUCGACCUGUGAGUUUCUACUCUAAAAAAUUCAACCAUUUUCAGGUGAACUAUUCUGUCAUUGAAAAAGAGACAUUGGCACUAAUUUGGGCUUUACAGCAUUUUGAAAUAUAUUUGGAUUCUGGUAGUGUUCCUCUGGUGGUCUAUACUGAUCACAAUCCCUUAACAUUUUUGCAUUCAUUGCAGUGUCCAAAUCGCAGAUUGAUGCGAUGGAUGUUGUUUUUGCAGCCCUAUUGUCUGGAUAUCCGCCAUAUUAGGGGCUCGGAUAAUAUUGUGGCAGAUGCUUUGUCCAGGGCACCAUGUGUUUAGGUUUGAUGUUCAGUCCCCUUUUCUCCAAGUUUCUUAUAGGCUUUUCCAGUGGCUAGGGUGGCUGAGCUAUUGAGGUGGGGAUUGAAUGGGUGACUGUGGAAGCAGGUAGAUGGACUGGUAAUUGCACACACCGGUAGAGGAUAAAAGUGGACGACUAGCCAGUCACGGUCUGCUUGUUUGCCCUCCGGACCCGUCCGGAACGAGCAGCAUUGGUCCGCACUUCUCUCUGACUGGCUGGCCUGAUCUCACAGAGCGCAUUUUUGUUAUCAAAUAAAUUAUUGUUUCUAUAGA